UCCAGUAGUCAUGCUAAAGGGGAAACACCCGUUCCCAUUCCGAAUACGGAAGUUAAGACCUUUGAGGCCGAUGGUACUGUACAAGUAAUUGUGUGGGAGAGUAGGAAACUGCUGGGA
rnacentral:rRNA from 1 species